GCAGUCGAGCGGUAAGGCCCUUCGGGGUACACGAGCGGCGAACGGGUGAGUAACACGUGGGUGAUCUGCCUCGCACUUCGGGAUAAGCCUGGGAAACUGGGUCUAAUACCGGAUAUGACCUUUCAGUGCAUGCUGUUGGGUGGAAAGAUUUAUCGGUGCGAGAUGGGCCCGCGGCCUAUCAGCUUGUUGGCGGGGUAACGGCCCACCAAGGCGACGACGGGUAGCCGACCUGAGAGGGGGACCGGCCACACUGGGACUGAGACACGGCCCAGACUCCUACGGGAGGCAGCAGUGGGGAAUAUUGCACAAUGGGCGGAAGCCUGAUGCAGCGACGCCGCGUGAGGGAUGACGGACUUCGGGUUGUAAACCUCUUUCGACAGGGACGAAGCGCAAGUGACGGUACCUGUAGAAGAAGCACCGGCCAACUACGUGCCAGCAGCCGCGGUAAUACGUAGGGUGCGAGCGUUGUCCGGAAUUACUGGGCGUAAAGAGCUUGUAGGCGGUUUGUCGCGUCGUCCGUGAAAACUUGGGGCUCAACCCCAAGCUUGCGGGCGAUACGGGCAGACUUGAGUACUUCAGGGGAGACUGGAAUUCCUGGUGUAGCGGUAGAAAUGCGCAGAUAUCAGGAGGAAACACCGGUGGCGAAGGCGGGUCUCUGGGAAGUAACUGACCGCUGAGAAGCGAAAGCGUGGGUAGCGAACAGGAUUAGAUACCCUGGUAGUCCACGCCGUAAACGGUGGGUACUAGGUGUGGGUUUCCUUCCACGGGAUCCGUGCCGUAGCUAACGCCAUUAAGUACCCCCGCCCUGGGGAGUACGGCCGCAAGGCUAAAACUCAAAGGAAUUGACGGGGGGUCCCGCCACAAGCGGCGGACGCAUGUGGAUUAAUUCGAUGCCAACGCGAAGAACCUUACCCUGGGUUUGACAUACACCGGAAACCUGCAGAGAUGUAGGCCCCCUUGUGGUCGGUGUACAGGUAGGUUGCAUGGCUGUCGUCAGCUCGUGUCGUGAGAUGUUGGGUUAAGUCCCGCAACGAGCGCAACCCUUGUCCUGUGUUGCCAGCGGAUUAUGACGGGGACUCGCAGGAGACUGCCGGGGUCAACUCGGAGGAAGGUGGGGACGACGUCAAGUCAUCAUGCCCCUUAUGUCCAGGGCUUCACACAUGCUACAAUGGCCGGUACAGAGGGCUGCGAUACCGUGAGGUGGAGCGAAUCCCUUAAAGCCGGUCUCAGUUCGGAUCGGGGUCUGCAACUCGACCCCGUGAAGUUGGAGUCGCUAGUAAUCGCAGAUCAGCAACGCUGCGGUGAAUACGUUCCCGGGCCUUGUACACACCGCCCGUCACGUCAUGAAAGUCGGUAACACCCGAAGCCGGUGGCCUAACCCCUUGUGGGACGGAGCCGUC
rnacentral:rRNA from 1 species